rnacentral:rRNA from 1 species
ACUCCUACGGGAGGCAGCAGUAGGGAAUCUUCCACAAUGGGCGAAAGCCUGAUGGAGCAACGCCGCGUGGGUGAAGAAGGUCUUCGGAUCGUAAAACCCUGUUGUUAGAGAAGAAAGUGCGUGAGAGUAACUGUUCACGUUUCGACGGUAUCUAACCAGAAAGCCACGGCUAACUACGUGCCAGCAGCCGCGGUAAUACGUAGGUGGCAAGCGUUAUCCGGAUUUAUUGGGCGUAAAGGGAACGCAGGCGGUCUUUUAAGUCUGAUGUGAAAGCCUUCGGCUUAACCGGAGUAGUGCAUUGGAAACUGGGAGACUUGAGUGCAGAAGAGGAGAGUGGAACUCUAUGUGUAGCGGUGAAAUGCGUAGAUAUAUGGAAGAACACCAGUGGCGAAAGCGGCUCUCUGGUCUGUAACUGACGCUGAGGUUCGAAAGCGUGGGUAGCAAACAGGAUUAGAUA